CAGCCAGAACCCACGGCUCAUCAUAUCCCCUCUCCCGUUCUACGUUUCUCCCAGGCUCAUCUCGUCUCUGUCUCUCGAAAUAAUCGGCAUCGCCUACACCAGCCUUCAAUUGAUUGAUAUAUCAUCAAUUAUUGGGAAUCUUCUUCGUCAUUGCUCCAAGGUAGGUUGUAUAAGAUUUAACUCUUUUAGAAUUUUUUCUUCUCCAUUAUUUUUAUUGCUACCAUUGUUGCUAUUUUCCAGAAAGUUGUAUUGGGGAUUUCAUUAGACUGCAUUUGACUGAAAUUUUUACGAGUUUUGUGCUGGAGGGAAGAAGACUGAAACUUGGGCGUUGGGCGAACUUAUAUUUAGGUAAAUCAUAAUCCGUUAUAAUUCAUAUUUUUGUUGAUAAUUAGCAUCCUAUUUCGAUUUGAAGUUAGGAUUACUAGGUUAUGCUACAGUAGUAGUGGAAGAUUAGGUUUUUAUAUUUGAGACUAACCUUCAAUAUUGGAACUUUUAAUUAGUAAAUGGCAAAAUACAACCUUUUAAUCAGUGAGUUUGCAUUUGUAUUGGAC
rnacentral:lncRNA from 1 species